rnacentral:rRNA from 1 species
UACGGAGGGUGCAAGCGUUAUCCGGAUUCACUGGGUUUAGAGGGUGCGUAGGCGGACAGGUAAGUCAGUGGUGAAAUCUCUGGGCUUAACCCAGAAACUGCCGUUGAUACUAUUUGUCUUGAAUAUCCUGGAGGUAGGCGGAAUAUGUCAUGUAGCGGUGAAAUGCUUAGAUAUGACAUAGAACACCAAUUGCGAAGGCAGCUCGUUACACGAAUAUUGACUCUGAGGCACGAAAGCGUGGGGAUCAAACAGG